GCUAACGCUAGCCCCAAGCAUAAUCAACACUAAUAUCAGACCCACAUAUACACCAAACCAUUAACCCAUACAAAGUAUAGGCGAUAGAAAUCUUAACCUGGCGCUAUAGAUACAGUACCGUAAGGGAAAAAUAAGAAAACCAUUCAAGCACAAAAUAGCAAGAACUAACCCCUGUACCUUUUGCAUAAUGAAUUAGCUAGAGAUAAUUUCGCAAAGAGAACUAAAGCCAAAUUUCCCGAAACCAGACGAGCUACCCAAAAACAGCCGAAAGAGCGCACCCGUCUAUGUGGCAAAAUAGUGGGAUGAUUUCUGGGUAGAGGUGACAAGCCUACCGAGCCUGGUGAUAGCUGGUUAUCCAAGAUAGAAUCUUAGUUCAACCUUAAGUUUACCCACAGAAUAACCUAAUCUCCCUGUAAACUUAAUUGUUAGUCUAAAGAGGGACAGCUCUUUAGACACUAGGAAAAAACCUUACAUAGAGAGUAAAAACCCCCGUUACCAUAGUUGGCCUAAAAGCAGCCAUCAAUUAAGAAAGCGUUCAAGCUCAACGUCAACCACCCGAAAAACCCCAAACAUGUUAUUGAACUCCUCAAAUCACAUUGGAUUAAUCUAUCACCCUAUAGAAGCAAUAAUGCUAGUAUAAGUAACAUGAACUCUCUCUCCCCACUGCAUAAGCCUAAAUCAGAUCGAAAACCUCACUGAUACUUAACAGCCCAGUACCAAUAAAUACAAACAAGCCCGUACUACUUUCACUGUUAAUCCAACACAGGCAUGCUUUCAAGGAAAGGUUAAAAAAAGUAAAAGGAACUCGGCAAACUCAGCCCCGCCUGUUUACCAAAAACAUCACCUCUAGCAUUACCAGUAUUAGAGGCACUGCCUGCCCAGUGACAUACGUUUAACGGCCGCGGUACCCUGAC
rnacentral:rRNA from 1 species